rnacentral:rRNA from 1 species
UGCAGUCGACGAGAUCUUCGGAUCUAGUGGCGCACGGGUGCGUAACGCGUGGGAAUCUGCCCUUGGGUUCGGAAUAACUUCUGGAAACGGAAGCUAAUACCGGAUGAUGACGUAAGUCCAAAGAUUUAUCGCCCAAGGAUGAGCCCGCGUAGGAUUAGCUAGUUGGUGGGGUAAAGGCCCACCAAGGCGACGAUCCUUAGCUGGUCUGAGAGGAUGAUCAGCCACACUGGGACUGAGACACGGCCCAGACUCCUACGGGAGGCAGCAGUAGGGAAUAUUGGACAAUGGGCGAAAGCCUGAUCCAGCAAUGCCGCGUGAGUGAUGAAGGCCUUAGGGUUGUAAAGCUCUUUUACCCGGGAUGAUAAUGACAGUACCGGGAGAAUAAGCUCCGGCUAACUCCGUGCCAGCAGCCGCGGUAAUACGGAGGGAGCUAGCGUUGUUCGGAAUUACUGGGCGUAAAGCGCACGUAGGCGGCUAUUCAAGUCAGAGGUGAAAGCCCGGGGCUCAACCCCGGAACUGCCUUUGAAACUAGAUAGCUUGAAUCCAGGAGAGGUGAGUGGAAUUCCGAGUGUAGAGGUGAAAUUCGUAGAUAUUCGGAAGAACACCAGUGGCGAAGGCGGCUCACUGGACUGGUAUUGACGCUGAGGUGC